AGUCGAGCGGUAACAGGAAUUAGCUUGCUAAUUUGCUGACGAGCGGCGGACGGGUGAGUAACGCGUAGGAAUCUGCCUGGUAGUGGGGGACAACAUGUGGAAACGCAUGCUAAUACCGCAUACGCCCUACGGGGGAAAGGAGGGGAUCUUCGGACCUUUCGCUAUCAGAUGAGCCUGCGUGAGAUUAGCUAGUUGGUGGGGUAAAGGCUCACCAAGGCGACGAUCUCUAGCUGGUCUGAGAGGAUGAUCAGCCACACUGGGACUGAGACACGGCCCAGACUCCUACGGGAGGCAGCAGUGGGGAAUAUUGGACAAUGGGCGCAAGCCUGAUCCAGCCAUGCCGCGUGUGUGAAGAAGGCCUUAGGGUUGUAAAGCACUUUCAGGAGUGAGGAAGGGUGUACGGUUAAUACCCGUAUAUUUUGACGUUAGCUCCAGAAGAAGCACCGGCUAACUCUGUGCCAGCAGCCGCGGUAAUACAGAGGGUGCAAGCGUUAAUCGGAAUUACUGGGCGUAAAGC
rnacentral:rRNA from 1 species